GUUCCUUGUUGGCAAGACCGGUGUCUUCAGUCCUGGUCAGUGGAGCUCAAUCCCCAGUAACGUUUUGAAAAAUGCUGCGCAGAAAAUGCUUCUCUUUCUGUAGUUCUGGCCUGUCUGAAAUCUCUCUAUUCUACAGUCACCCUUGAUUAAUAGUGUAGCGGAGCACAGAAUCCCGGUUGGAAAUUGUUUUCAUUCGGGGUUUUAAGACUUUUGCUGUUCAUCCUCCUGUGCUGCUCUGAGGAAUCCAAUGGCAUUUUGAUCCAUAUCGCAGUACGGGGCUUUGCUUCUUUCUCUCCUUCUCUUCCUCCCCCUCCUUUUAGGCUCCCUCCUUGGGGAGGGUCUCUGGUUCAUCCUUACACUGGGCAUCAGUGAGCCCUGGCAAGCUGGAUGCUUGCAUCCUUCUGUUUUGAAAAUUUUCUUACGAUAUUUCUUUGAUAACUUCCUUCAUUUACAGUAAAACCUCAAUAUUACGGACUAAGUCAGGUGAGGGGAUGCUCAUUAAAGUCCAAAGUCCGUUAUAUCAUAAAGUGAGUUUUCCGAAUGCACAUCUUAAAAAAUUGGCAGAUUAGUUUACCUGUUUUUACUCAUGUAGACAAAUUUGUGUAACUAAAAUUAAGUCUGUCUGAAAAGUUUCAUUUCAAAGAAAAGUCUUCUAUGUGAAUUGCAGCAAUUUUAAAUUUAUACUGACUAGGUCUAGUAAGUGCGUGCCUUCACCAGUCACUCCAUGACAAUAAAUGCACACGGCUGGGGCGUGGCUUAACACACGUGGGAACAUGGGCCGGCACGCGUUAAAACUGCUGCAGAAGGUCACGCCAGAGAGGACAGAACCCAUUACCACGCACCAAUUACCACUUGAGACUCGGUGUGAUCACGUGCUAAUUAGCCGAAUGUUGUUUACAAGCGGUGGCCCUGAAUUUAAAUAUGCAGACCGUUGUGGAUAUGUAAUACUUAUGUAGGCAGAAUUACUACAAUGUCUUUUCUAACAUAUGGCCUAUUCGCUAAAAUUUGUUUAAAAGUAACAGUGAAUUAGUAACCAAAAAUAAGCUGUUAAUUAUAAGCAAUUCUUGGUUAAAAGCAUUUUAAAAGUAACAGGGUGUUAAUUUUCACAUAUGACAUACAGACCAGAAAUUCUGCUGGGGUUCAGUCCCA